CAUUCCCAAACCCUGCUCCCCAAUGCAAAUGUACUCGGGCUGUGGGUAGCCUGUAUACUGCUCCCCCGGCUACCCUGACUGCCACAGUUCUGCUGGUCUUGGCCUGAUCGGGUACAAGGUGACUUUUGACCAGAGUGAUGGUGGCCCCCGAGUCGCGGAGCCCUUGGACCGCUUUCCCCUCUAGGUAGACAGUUUGUCUAUG